UACGUAGGGUGCGAGCGUUAAUCGGAAUACUGGGCGUAAAGCGUGCGCAGGCGGUUCGUUGUGUCGGUGGUGAAAGCCCCGGGCUUAACCCUGGGAAUGGCCAUGGAAACUGGCGAACUGGAGUGUGGCAGAGGGGGGUGGAAUUCCGCGUGUAGCAGUGAAAUGCGUAGAGAUGCGGAGGAACACCGAUGGCGAAGGCAGCCCCCUGGGCUAGCACUGACGCUCAGGCACGAAAGCGUGGGGAGCAAACAGG
rnacentral:rRNA from 1 species